GAUGAACGCUGGCGGCGUGCCUAAUACAUGCAAGUCGAGCGAACGGACGAGAAGCUUGCUUCUCUGAUGUUAGCGGCGGACGGGUGAGUAACACGUGGAUAACCUACCUAUAAGACUGGGAUAACUUCGGGAAACCGGAGCUAAUACCGGAUGAUAUUUUGAACCGCAUGGUUCUAAAGUGAAAGACGGUCUUGCUGUCACUUAUAGAUGGAUCCGCGCUGCAUUAGCUAGUUGGUAAGGUAAUGGCUUACCAAGGCAACGAUGCAUAGCCGACCUGAGAGGGUGAUCGGCCACACUGGAACUGAGACACGGUCCAGACUCCUACGGGAGGCAGCAGUAGGGAAUCUUCCGCAAUGGGCGAAAGCCUGACGGAGCAACGCCGCGUGAGUGAUGAAGGUCUUCGGAUCGUAAAACUCUGUUAUUAGGGAAGAACAUAUGUGUAAGUAACUGUGCACAUCUUGACGGUACCUAAUCAGAAAGCCACGGCUAACUACGUG
rnacentral:rRNA from 1 species